rnacentral:pre_miRNA from 1 species
AAGAGAAGAAUAUGUUAGCAUAACCAAGGAUGAUUGCCCAAAGCCAAAAAAAAGUUCUAACAGCAAACAAGAUCAAUGCCUUCUCAGUGUAGCGGGCAAGUCAUCCUUGGCUACCAAACAAGACUCUUACCU